CAGGAUUGCUGAGGGAGUCCUGGUCUUUGAGGAAAACAAGAACUCCCACCAUGAACUCUCACGGAACACUGCUGGGGGAAGCCAGACCCACAGGAGAGCCUACAGUGUCUUGAAGUCCCAAUGCAGGUCUGCUCUCCUCCAACCCCCAUUGCUUGUGGCCCAGGAAUCUGACGGGAAGGACUGCCUGUGCUGGCCUCUGACCUGAGCUGGGUUUAGCCAUUCGAGUCCUGGAAGGAGAUGGGAGAGGAAGAGGCUGAGACUGAAUUGUUUUUUCUAUUCACCACAUGGUUUUCUGAAUAUUUUAAGCCCACUGUUGAGACCUACUGCUCAGAAAAAGGUUCCUUUCAAAACACACACUGCUCACUGACAAUGCAGUUGUUCCCCAAGAGUUCUGAUGGAGGACAAAGAGAUGAAUGCCUGCUGUCACCUCAUCCCCUCUGCAGCUCAGGAUCAGGUCUUAUUAUUUAAGAAGUACAUUUCCUAAGGCUACAGCUUCCAGACAUACUGAUUCCCCUGAUGGAUCUGAGCAAAGUUAAUUGGAAACCUCCUGGGAAUGAUU